UUCCUCAAUGCUUCAGAUUUAGCUUCAGAUGUAACAAGCUUUGUAGAUAGAAAGGCUAGAUAAACAGGGCGGUUUGACCCUACUCAAAAAAUACUUCCUUCCAUAAUCAAUGAAACUAGCAAAUCCUGACUUUGCUAACCACAAAGUUGCCAAUUUCUUCCAUAGUGAAUUGGUUCCUUGCUAUGUAUAGCAUAAGAGUUGUGGGAGACAAAAAGAUAUGCAUGAUCAAUGAAC
rnacentral:lncRNA from 1 species